rnacentral:rRNA from 1 species
UCCUGGCUCAGAGCGAACGUUUGCGGCGGGCCUAACACAUGCAAGUCGAACGCACUAGCAAUAGUGAGUGGCGCACGGGUGCGUAACACGUGGGUAAUCAACCCUUCAGCUUGGGAUAACGACUUGAAAGGGUCGCUAAUACCGGAUACGGCGAGAGAGGCUUCGGCAUUUCUCGAGAAAGCCUCGCAAGGGGCACUGAAGGACGAGCCUGCGGCCCAUCAGCUAGUUGGUGAGGUAAGAGCUCACCAAGGCGAAGACGGGUAGCUGGUCUGAGAGGAUGAUCAGCCACACUGGAACUGAGACACGGUCCAGACUCCUACGGGAGGCAGCAGUGGGGAAUAUUGCGCAAUGGGCGAAAGCCUGACGCAGCCACGCCGCGUGAGCGAUGAAGGCCUUCGGGUCGUAAAGCUCUGUGGGGAGAGACGAAGAAAGCCCGUGAAGAGCGGGCCUUGACGGUAUCUCCUUAGCAAGCACCGGCUAACUCUGUG